rnacentral:rRNA from 1 species
CCUACGGGUGGCAGCAGUGGGGAAUAUUGGGCAAUGGGCGCAAGCCUGACCCAGCAACGCCGCGUGAAGGAAGAAGGCUUUCGGGUUGUAAACUUCUUUUCUCAGGGACGAAGAAAGUGACGGUACCUGAAUAAGAAGCCCCGGCUAACUACGUUCCAGCAGCCGCGGUAAUACGUAGGGGGCAAGCUGUACCCGGAAUUACUGGGUGUAAAGGGUGAGUAGGCGGCAUGGUAAGCCAGAUGUGAAAGCCUUGGGCUUAACCCGAGGAUUGCAUUUGGAACUAUCAAGCUAGAGUACAGGAGAGGAAAGCGGAAUUCCUAGUGUAGCGGUGAAAUGCGUAGAUAUUAGGCAGAACACCAGUGGCGAAGGCGGCUUUCUGGACUGAAACUGACGCUGAGGCACGAAAGCGUGGGGAGCGAACAGGAUUAGAUACCCUUGUAGUC